AACGCUAGCUACAGGCUUAACACAUGCAAGUCGAGGGGCAGCGGAGAGGAAAGCUUGCUUUCCUCUGCCGGCGACCGGCGCACGGGUGAGUAACACGUAUGCAACCUGCCUCUGUCCGGGGGAUAAUCGGAGGAAACCCCGUCUAAUACCGCGUAAAUCGCCGUGGGGCAUCCCGGGGCGAGGAAAGGUCGCAAGACCGGACAGAGAUGGGCAUGCGGCGCAUUAGGUAGUUGGGGGUGUAACGGACCACCAAGCCGACGAUGCGUAGGGGUUCUGAGAGGAAGGUCCCCCACACUGGUACUGAGACACGGACCAGACUCCUACGGGAGGCAGCAGUGAGGAAUAUUGGUCAAUGGGCGAGAGCCUGAACCAGCCAAGUCGCGUGGAGGAAGAAGGUGCUAAGCAUUGUAAACUCCUUUUGCCGGGGAACAAAAGCCCUCACGAGUGGGGGUGUGAGUGUACCCGGAGAAAAAGCAUCGGCUAACUCCGUGCCAGCAGCCGCGGUAAUACGGAGGAUGCGAGCGUUAUCCGGAUUUAUUGGGUUUAAAGGGUGCGCAGGCGGCGCGUCAAGUCAGCGGUAAAAUGUCGGGGCUCAACCCCGGCCGGCCGUUGAAACUGGCGUGCUCGAGUUGGAGAGAAGUACGCGGAAUUCGUGGUGUAGCGGUGAAAUGCUUAGAUAUCACGAAGAACUCCGAUUG
rnacentral:rRNA from 1 species